rnacentral:rRNA from 1 species
AUUGAACGCUGGCGGCAGGCCUAACACAUGCAAGUCGAGCGGGGUUUUCGGACCUAGCGGCGGACGGGUGAGUAAUGCGUAGGAAGCUGCCAAAUAGAGGGGGAUACCAGUUGGAAACGACUGUUAAUACCGCAUAAUGUCUACGGACCAAAGUGUGGGACCUUCGGGCCACAUGCUAUCGGAUGCGCCUACGUGGGAUUAGCUAGUUGGUGAGGUAAUGGCUCACCAAGGCGACGAUCUCUAGCUGGUUUGAGAGGAUGAUCAGCCACACUGGAACUGAGACACGGUCCAGACUCCUACGGGAGGCAGCGGUGGGGAAUAUUGGACAAUGGGCGCAAGCCUGAUCCAGCCAUGCCGCGUGUGUGAAGAAGGCCUUCGGGUUGUAAAGCACUUUCAGCGAGGAGGAAGGGGUUGUAGUUAAUAGCUGCAACCUUUGACGUUACUCGCAGAAGAAGCACCGGCUAACUCUGUGCCAGCAGCCGCGGUAAAAC